GUAGGGUGCAAGCGUUAAUCGGAAUUACUGGGCGUAAAGCGUGCGCAGGCGGUUUUGUAAGUCUGAUGUGAAAUCCCCGGGCUCAACCUGGGAAUUGCAUUGGAGACUGCAAGGCUAGAAUCUGGCAGAGGGGGGUAGAAUUCCACGUGUAGCAGUGAAAUGCGUAGAUAUGUGGAGGAACACCGAUGGCGAAGGCAGCCCCCUGGGUCAAGAUUGACGCUCAUGCACGAAAGCGUGGGGAGCAAACAGGAUUAGAUACCCUGGUAGUCCACGCCCCUAAACGAUGUCUACUAGUUGUCGGGUCUUAAUUGACUUGGUAACGCAGCUAACGCGUGAAGUAGACCCGCCUGGGAGUACGGUCGCAAGAUUA
rnacentral:rRNA from 1 species